GAGCCGAGAUCGUACCACUGCACUCCAGCCUGGGUGACAGAGUGAGACUCCAUCUCAAAAAAGAAAAAGCAAAAAAGAAGAAAAAAAGAUGUGUUCAACUCAAUAUGGACCAGCCCUUUGAGUCAUAUUCAUUAUAGUAUAUAGUGAUGUUUUAUGCACUUUUCUGUAUGUCUGUAAUAUUUCAUAAUAAAAACACACAUGCAAGGGACAAUGAAAUAAGUGCAAGGUUAAUGCAGAGAUAGUAGAUUGCUUAUUUGUUCUUCUGGUAGAUUGCAUUAUUUGUUCAAAACCUUUGCAGCCACUCCAUAUCAGUCCUUCUUACUGGACUUUCACUACAAAUCAUCCUUGCUGGAGGAUUCUAUUUCCCAUGACGUUGACAUUUACUUUAGCCAAUGAAAGAUGAGUGGAAGUGGACUGGUGCUCCUGAACAGAAACUUUAAGAGCGAGAGGAUGGUUCUGCCGUUUCUCUUUUCCCUCUGCCAGGAUAAUGUCAAUGUUCCAGGUAACAGCUGUUCCUGUGUAGCUACCAUCCUUCAUCAGAAAACUUCAGCACAAGUGUAUUACAUUGUAUCCCUCUCCUCAAAGUGGGGGAUAAGGAAGGAGACCACUACUACUCCUGCUGCCCUCCUCCCCCCACCUUGCCUAGUUCACAAGACAGGAGGAAAGAGAGAAAGAAACAAAAGUAAGAUAAACAGCCGGACAACCUUGGCACCACCACCCGGCCCUAGGAGUUAAAAAAAAGGGAGCUCGGCUCUUAAGACACGAGUCUGCCAACGCUCCUGGCUGAAUUAAAAAAAACCUCUUCCUUCUUUAAUCUGGUGUCUGAGGAGUUUUGUCUGUGGCUCAUCCUGCUACACCUGCAGCCUGGAUCCCAGAAUGAAGAGGUCAUGGGGCAGAGCUACAGCUGAUGUAUAAUAGGAAGCGAAAAGGAACAUCAUUAAACCGGUAAAGCCUGGCUGCUGCUCACCUGGAGGCCACGCAGAGUCGCCCGUGUGAGACACAACGGGGAGCAUCUCUCUCUUCUUGUGACUUAUGAUGUGAAGCCACUGCGUUCUUUCUCCACCACAUCUUAACACGCUUGCCUAGUGUGUCGUCACCAGCAGGCACACAGGCCUCCUGCUGAACUCCAGUUUCAGAGUGACCUUUGAGGUGUUCCAGCUAUACACAGAACGAAUGGCAUUUAUUUUGAAUCAGACGAUUCAACACACAGUCUCUCAAUUUGGUGAGAAUCCAGCUGUCAACUUUCAUAGAAUGUGACAACAGUCAGAAGCAAUUGGCAGAGAUAAAUAUGAGGACAAAAAGAUGGCAGAGUGAGACCCCACCCCACCCUGUUUUGUUGCAAGCAGCAGCAGCAGCAGCAGCAACAACAACAACAACAAAAUAGCAGAGCAAAUUAUGGAAGAGCAUCUCAUCUAUAAUGAAUGUGGCAGAUUUGUGCAAAUUGGCAAGCAUAUCUUUGCAGACUCAGGGAUAUUUGCGAAAAACUUAAGGAAGAUCUCAACUGCCCCUAUUUACUCCCCAGAUCUCAAGUGGACACAAGAUCCUUAAAAGUAAGUGGCAGGGUCCUGAAGGGUCUGGCCUACAUCUUUACCUGGAAAUAUGAUAACUCAGGGCAGAGGUGGGCUUGGAGAAUCAGAGAAGGUCACUCCCUGAGCCUAUCUUCAAGCCCCAGCAUGGCAGGAACCCGGGCUGUCAAGAGGCUCCAAUGAUCUUGUGCCCUUAUGUUGUCUGAGCUAGGCUGCUAACCCAAACGAACAGCCUGAGGGGAAGGUAGAGAGAGGAGAGAUGGGACCACACUCUGACAUCACCUUUGCACAAGGCCGGCUGAACAGAGGUAAAUGAACUGAACCACAUUGGAUAAAGGGAGGCCCAAGGUUUUAGCAUAAGCCACAGGUCACACAGUAAUACGGAGGAUCUGAAUCAAAUAACUCAUCAGAUUGAUGUAAGAGAUAAUAUUGCAUUGUGUAUCCCUCAAUCAGAAAAUACACCUCUGGGUUGGGUGUAGUGGCUCAUGUCUGUAAUCCCAGCACUUUGGGAGGCCUAGGUGGGUGGAUCACUUGAGGUCAGGAGUUUGAGACC